GACAGAGGGUGCAAACGUUGUUCGGAAUUACUGGGCGUAAAGCGCGUGUAGGCGGCCCUGCAAGUCGGAUGUGAAAUCCCACGGCUCAACCGUGGAAGUGCAUUCGAAACUGCAGGGCUAGAGUCCUGGAGAGGAAGGUGGAAUGCUUGGUGUAGAGGUGAAAUUCGUAGAUAUCAAGCGGAACACCGGUGGCGAAGGCGGCCUUCUGGACAGUGACUGACGCUGAGAUACGAAAGCGUGGGGAGCAAACAGG
rnacentral:rRNA from 1 species